UGUACCGUACGUUGGAUGAAGGCUCUCCCACGCCGUUCCAUUCGUCUUCUUCAUCAUCAGUGGACGAUGGUCGUCGGUGGGGGCUGCAAUGGAGCCAAGCGCCGGGGAUCACCAACUCAGGGUGUAGGUCGAGGUAAGAAGUCUAAGGUAUUACAUUCUGAACCUGGUGGAUCACCAAUCGCCGAGUUGUGAUAGUGAUGAUGAUUUUGUUUCUCCACCUUUGGCGUUCCUUGCAAGGCUCCAACAAGACCCGUUGUGGAAUGCCCCCGACUAUGAGCUUAGUGCCCAUUUCAGCUACAAUCUUUCCCCACUUUAGUGUGGAUUUUUUGGCUGCCACACCCUUUUAUAACCACAUUAUAUAAUUUUGCUCAGACUUAGAGUUUGUUACAUGCCCGUGUUCAGAAUAAUAAUUUUUGGUGUGUUAUUCUU